ensembl:snRNA smy-7 ncRNA
CAGCACGAUUUAACACUCUCAGGGCCUUACAAAAGACCCAGUGAACAAUUUUUGCAAACCCUGUCCUUUCAAGGUCAGGGUA